rnacentral:rRNA from 1 species
CGAGCGAGCGGAACUACAGAUUUACUUCGGUAAUGACGUUAGGAAAGCGAGCGGCGGAUGGGUGAGUAACACGUGGGGAACCUGCCCCAUAGUCUGGGAUACCACUUGGAAACAGGUGCUAAUACCGGAUAAGAAAGCAGAUCGCAUGGUCAGCUUUUAAAAGGCGGCGUAAGCUGUCGCUAUGGGAUGGCCCCGCGGUGCAUUAGCUAGUUGGUAAGGUAAAGGCUUACCAAGGCGAUGAUGCAUAGCCGAGUUGAGAGACUGAUCGGCCACAUUGGGACUGAGACACGGCCCAAACUCCUACGGGAGGCAGCAGUAGGGAAUCUUCCACAAUGGACGCAAGUCUGAUGGAGCAACGCCGCGUGAGUGAAGAAGGUUUUCGGAUCGUAAAGCUCUGUUGUUGGUGAAGAAGGAUAGAGGUAGUAACUGGCCUUUAUUUGACGGUAAUCAACCAGAAAGUCACGGCUAACUACGUGCCAGCAGCCGCGGUAAUACGUAGGUGGCAAGCGUUGUCCGAAUUUAUUGGGCGUAAAGCGAGCGCAGGCGGAAGAAUAAGUCUGAUGUGAAAGCCCUCGGCUUAACCGAGGAACUGCAUCGGAAACUGUUUUUCUUGAGUGCAGAAGAGGAGAGUGGAACUCCAUGUGU